rnacentral:ribozyme from 14 species
ACACACACACACACACAUGUGACAAAAAGAGGUUUGAAAGAAAAAAAAAAUAAUGAUUUUUGAAAAUAGUUUAAUAUAACGUGUCAUUUUUUUUUCUCUCUCUCAGUUUUUUUU